UCCCACUGAGCCGACAGCGCGGCUCCCACCCACUAUCAGAGAAGGAGACCUACCCUGGGUUCGUCCCCUCCCCAUGGCAUCCCCGACCCAACCACCUCUCCGAUGGACUCCAUGGUGUCCUCGCCCCUACCACCCCAUGGAUUCGGCAGCGCCCAUUGUAGGGGACAUUCUUCCUCCACGUGCAUCCUCCCCAAGUCCGACAGCGACCUCGACGCUGCAGCUGAUUGGGAUGCUGUGGCGGUACCUCUAGAAGCUCUCCUUGCGGCUUGUGUGGACCAACGGGCCAAGGUGAGACAGCUAGUAGCCUAUUAGCUCUAGGAAUUACUGAAUUAGCAAUAGACAUUUAGCAACUUCACUCGUGUAGAUGUCAAUUGAUACUUUAGGUUCGAAAAUGUGCGCAGGAGAUUGUUGAAAAGCUGUUCGCUUACUUGGGACAGUGUGAUUGCACGAAGAAAGCUAGCAAUGCUGCAACCGACAUGUUUGAUAAGCACAUUUCUUCAUCCCAAAGCCACAAAUCAGAGUUAAGCACUUGCGCUUGUGAACAUCGUAUAGGAUUAUAGGUUCCAUGAGCCAAUUCCAGAAUGUUGUAUGUCUGUGUGUUUUUGCUACUUUUCCAAUACUCCAUAAUUAUAGCAUAUAUUCCAGGCUGACUUGAUGCCCAAAAUUUUAAAAAGGACAUGAUUUUUAAAUAUUUGUUUUAGUGAACUAUAGAACGAAAUAUCAAAUUCAAUUAGCACAUGGGGCAGAUAACACAUUUACAAAUCAUAGUUGUUAAAUGUUUGAUAUUUUUGUGUUUCUGUGUUGCAAUCCAAAUGGAACAGGGUGUUGCUCAGGCAAUUAUCCGAUCUGCCAUUGAUCUGUAUGUAUCAUCUACUCUACUGCUAGUAGUUCCUAGUUUGUUAUCUGUGACCUAACACCUGUGUAUCUUCACUGUAAAGCUAGGAUAAGAAGUGUAAAGACUAUCUUUGCAACUGUAAAGACUAUCUCGACUCGGUGAAGACGAAAUCAAUCUAUUAAUUUAUUUUCUGAAGCUAGCAGAUUUUUUUGAUGUAAUCAGGAGGGGUUUCCCCCUACUGUCUUUUAUUAAAACAAAGGUAAAAAACUUUACAACUGAGAUCAAGACACAAAGAAAGAGAGGACCAAAAUAAACAAAAUUACACAUAGUGGUCUAGCCAUUGACUAAUAUGAGGUUGAUAAGCAGCCUUUGCUCUAAGUAUAACAAGAGCAAAUUCUUUCCUGAAGAUGGCUUUACACCUCUGAACUGAAGGCUGAAUGCCUCUGAAGAUUAAAUCAUUCCUGAUAGACCAAAUACUCCAACUCAUGGUGAUUAAAAUUUCCAAAGCAAAAGGGCAGUGAAGUUGAGCUUUAAACAUGACCACUGUGAGAAAAGGAUCUUGCAGAUGAGGCACUAUCAGACCCAAAGUUGCCCAAC
rnacentral:lncRNA from 1 species